rnacentral:rRNA from 1 species
GACAGAGGUCCCGAGCGUUAGGCGGAAUCACUGGGCUUAAAGCGUGUGUAGGCGGAUUUGUAAGUACCUUGUGAAAUCCCACAGCUUAACUGUGGAACUGCUUGGUAUACUGCUUAUCUUGGGCCACUUAGGGGUUACCGGAACAAACGGUGGAGCGGUGAAAUGCGUAGAUAUCGUUUGGAACGCCAAUGGUGAAAACAGGUAACUGGGAGUGUGCCGAUGCUGAGACACGAAAGCCAGGGGAGCGAACGGG